rnacentral:rRNA from 1 species
CCUACGGGGUGCAGCAGUGAGGAAUAUUGGUCAAUGGGCGGAAGCCUGAACCAGCCAAGUCGCGUGAGGGAAUAAGGCCCUACGGGUCGUAAACCUCUUUUGCCGGGGAGCAAGGGCGGGGACGUGUCCCGGCCCGGAGAGUACCCGGAGAAAAAGCAUCGGCUAACGCCGUGCCAGCAGCCGCGGUAAUACGGAGGAUGCGAGUGUUAUCCGGAUUUAUUGGGUUUAAAGGGUGCGUAGGCGGGCUUUUAAGUCCGCGGGAAAAAUUCGGGGCUCAACCCCGUCCGGCCGUUGAAACUGGGGGCCUUGAGUGGGCGAGAAGAAGGCGGAAUGCGUUGUGUAGCGGUGAAAUGCAGAGAUAUCACGCAGAACCCCGAUUGCGAAGGCAGCCUUCCGGCGCCCUACUGACGCUGAGGCACGAAAGUGCGGGGAUCGAACAGGAUUAGAUACCCCUGUAGUC